GACGAACGCUGGCGGCGUGCUUAACACAUGCAAGUCGAACGGAAAGGCCCUGCUUUUGUGGGGUGCUCGAGUGGCGAACGGGUGAGUAACACGUGAGUAACCUGCCCUUGACUUUGGGAUAACUUCAGGAAACUGGGGCUAAUACCGGAUAGGAGCUCCUGCUGCAUGGUGGGGGUUGGAAAGUUUCGGCGGUUGGGGAUGGACUCGCGGCUUAUCAGCUUGUUGGUGGGGUAGUGGCUUACCAAGGCUUUGACGGGUAGCCGGCCUGAGAGGGUGACCGGCCACAUUGGGACUGAGAUACGGCCCAGACGCCUACGGGAGGCAGCAGUGGGGAAUAUUGCACAAUGGGCGGAAGCCUGAUGCAGCAACGCCGCGUGCGGGAUGACGGCCUUCGGGUUGUAACCCGCUUUCGCCUGUGACGAAGCGUGGGUGACGGUAAUGGGUAAAGAAGCACCGGCUAACUACGUG
rnacentral:rRNA from 1 species